CAUGGAUUGUCAUUAUAUAGAUUCUCUUUUGUGUACUUGUUUUUUGGGAUUGAUGAUGGUAUUGUCCAGUUGGUUGGGGUGUACAACCGAAUUUUACACGGUAUGUUCCAACUAUAUCCAGUUAACGAUAAAAUUAAUUUUAGUUGGAACUUUUACGGGUAUUUCAGUGCUGAUAAUGAUAAAAAAUCGCAUGCGAUUAAAAACGAUUUCACAGGUUAUAGAGUCUACGUUCGCCAUCAUUUAUAUCGUUGCAGCAGUUUCAGUUUUCCAACAAAUACACUGAAAUUUAAUUGAAAAAAUAUACGACUCAUUAGUUAUUACGAC